rnacentral:rRNA from 1 species
AGAGUUUGAUCCUGGCUCAGGAUGAACGCUGGCGGCGUGCUUAACACAUGCAAGUCGAACGAUGAUCCCAGCUUGCUGGGGGAUUAGUGGCGAACGGGUGAGUAACACGUGAGUAACCUGCCCUUAACUCUGGGAUAAGCCUGGGAAACUGGGUCUAAUACCGGAUAUGACUCCUCAUCGCAUGGUGGGGGGUGGAAAGCUUUUUGUGGUUUUGGAUGGACUCGCGGCCUAUCAGCUUGUUGGUGAGGUAAUGGCUCACCAAGGCGACGACGGGUAGCCGGCCUGAGAGGGUGACCGGCCACACUGGGACUGAGACACGGCCCAGACUCCUACGGGAGGCAGCAGUGGGGAAUAUUGCACAAUGGGCGAAAGCCUGAUGCAGCGACGCCGCGUGAGGGAUGACGGCCUUCGGGUUGUAAACCUCUUUCAGUAGGGAAGAAGCGAAAGUGACGGUACCUGCAGAAGAAGCGCCGGCUAACUACGUGCCAGCAGCCGCGGUAAUACGUAGGGCGCAAGCGUUAUCCGGAAUUAUUGGGCGUAAAGAGCUCGUAGGCGGUUUGUCGCGUCUGCCGUGAAAGUCCGGGGCUCAACUCCGGAUCUGCGGUGGGUACGGGCAGACUAGAGUGAUGUAGGGGAGACUGGAAUCCCUGGUGUAGCGGUGAAAUGCGCAGAUAUCAGGAGGAACACCGAUGGCGAAGGCAGGUCUCUGGGCAUUAACUGACGCUGAGGAGCGAAAGCAUGGGGAGCGAACAGGAUUAGAUACCCUGGUAGUCCAUGCCGUAAACGUUGGGCACUAGGUGUGGGGGACAUUCCACGUUUUCCGCGCCGUAGCUAACGCAUUAAGUGCCCCGCCUGGGGAGUACGGCCGCAAGGCUAAAACUCAAAGGAAUUGACGG